rnacentral:misc_RNA from 1 species
GAUGAAGAACGCAGCGAAAUGCGAUACGUAAUGUGAAUUGCAGAAUUCAGUGAAUCAUCGAGUCUUUGAACGCACAUUGCGCCCCCUGGUAUUCCGGGGGGCAUGCCUGUCCGAGCGUCAUUGCUGCCCUCAAGCACGGCUUGUGUGUUGGGCCUCCGUCCUCCUCCCGGGGGACGGGCCCGAAAGCCAGCGGCGGCACCGCGUCCGGUCCUCGAGCGUAUGGGGCUUCGUCACCCGCUCUUGUAGGCCCGGCCGGCGCUUGCCGACACAUCAAUCUUUUUUCCAGGUUGACCUCGGAUCAGGUAGGGAUACCCGCUGAACUUAAGCAUAUCAAUAAGCGGAGGA